rnacentral:rRNA from 1 species
CGACAUGAAUUGCCUUAGUAACGGCGAGUGAAGCGGCAAAAGCUCAAAUUUGAAAUCGGCCACCAGGUCGAGUUGUAAUUUGUAGAUUGUAUCUUGAGAGCGGAUUAAAGUCUGUUGGAACACAGCGCCUUAGAGGGUGACAGCCCCGUAAAAUCUAUUCUCAUUGUAAGAUACUUUCGAAGAGUCGAGUUGUUUGGGAAUGCAGCUCUAAGUGGGAGGUAAAUUCCUUCUAAAGCUAAAUAUUGACGAGAGACCGAUAGCGAACAAGUACUGUGAAGGAAAGAUGAAAAGCACUUUGAAAAGAGAGUGAAAAAGUACGUGAAAUUGUUAAAAGGGAAGGGUAUUGAAUCAGACUUGGUGCUGUUGUUCAACUGUGUUUCGGCAUAGUGUACUCAGCAGUACUAGGCCAAGGUGGGGUGUUUGGGAGUGAAAAAGAAGUUGGAACGUAACUCUUCGGAGUGUUAUAGCCUACUUUCAUAGCUCCUCAGGCGCCUCAGGACUGCGCUUCGGCAAGACCUUGCG